GACGAACGCUGGCGGCGUGCUUAACACAUGCAAGUCGAACGAAGUGGCGAACGGGUGAGUAAUGCGCAAUCAACCUGCCCUUCAGAGGGGGACAACAGUUGGAAACGACUGCUAAUACCGCAUACUGAAGGAGGGUAUGGCGUCUGCUUAGCUAGUUGGCGGGGUAACGGCCCACCAAGGCGAGGAUAGGUAGCCGGAAUGAGAGGAUGUACGGCCACAUUGGGAGUGAGACCGGCCCCAGUCUCCUACGGAGGGCAGCAGAGGGGAAACUUGCGGAAGGGAGGUAAGUCUUACGGAGCAACGCCGCGUGAGUGAUGACGGUCUUCGGGUUGUAAAGCUCUGUUAAUCGGGACGCGGUACCGGAAUAGAAAGCCACGGCUAACUACGUGCCAGCAGCCGCGGUAAUUC
rnacentral:rRNA from 1 species